rnacentral:rRNA from 1 species
CCUACGGGGGGCAGCAGUAGGGAAUCUUCCACAAUGGGCGAAAGCCUGAUGGAGCAACGCCGCGUGGGUGAAGAAGGUCUUCGGAUCGUAAAACCCUGUUGUUAGAGAAGAAAGUUCGUGAGAGUAACUGUUCACGUUUCGACGGUAUCUAACCAGAAAGCCACGGCUAACUACGUGCCAGCAGCCGCGGUAAUGCGGGGGAUGCAAGCGUUAUCCGGAUUUAUUGGGUUUAAAGGGUGCGUAGGCUGUGAGGUAAGUCAGCGGUGAAAUGCCCCCGCGCAACGGGGUGAAGUGCCAUUGAUACUGCCUUGCUGGAGUGCGGAUGCCGUGGGAGGAAUGUGUGGUGUAGCGGUGAAAUGCAUAGAUAUCACACAGAACACCGAUUGCGAAGGCAUCUCACGAAUCCGCGAUUGACGCUGAUGCACGAAAGCGUGGGUAUCAAACAGGAUUAGAUACCCGUGUAGUC